ensembl:lncRNA
CCUGCCAGUGCAGAAGCAGCCAGUGCCUGUGCCUGCAUCCCUUUCUAUGCUAGCUGAAGAAGAAUGGUCUUCCCAAAAGUGCCAGGGAAGGAAUGUCAGAGGCUGAUGUUUCUUUUCACUUAACGGAACAGUGUGUCAGUGAAACCAAUCUUUCUUCUGCAGAGCAUUUUGGAAGCAGCUUUUGGUUUGCUCUACCAGACAGUAGAAAUGGGUGCACAGAAUCAGUUAUUAGGGGAGAACUUCUUAUAAAAGUUUCAAGCUGUGGUUUCUUUCUCUUUCAUUUUUGUGAAACUUGUAGAAAUUUUCAAUACCUCUUUUUUAAUUUUAUUUUAAUUUCAUCAAAUGAUGAAAUUAAUUUUAAAUUGAGUUAUAUCUAGACAAUCAAUUCAAAGUUACAGGGUUAGUUGGGGACACUCAGAAAAAUCAUCAUUACAUAAACUGAAGAAACCAGGCUAAAAAUAGCAAUGUAUUGUUACAGAAGUCAACCCCUAGUGCAUGGUAGGAUCAAGCAGAGCCUCAAUUAUGAAUAAAAGUCUGCCUGCGUGAAACCUAUUUUGUGACUGCUUCACGGUGAAUAAUUGUAAGAGUAAUUGGGGAAAACCAGGAUGACUGCUAAUCAAAAAAGAAAAGAUUGGUGUCACCUUUAUUUUUAUAUCUUUUAAAAACAGGACUGUUACAGUAUUCAAGCUCAUCAGCGUAAUUCUUUAUGGCAGGUUGUAUUUCUUAAAUGAGCUGUAAGGUAACAGUUGCCAAUGUUAAAAAAUAAUUGUAUGACCCACACAUAGGCAAUACAAUAUUUAUUUCUGAUAUUAGUGUAAGCUGAUCUGAGUGCGGGCCAUGAACAUACUGUACCUGUGACAAGUUUUUUUUCUCUGUAAUGUGUGCAGCUCUAUUAAUAUACACUGAAGUGUGUAUUAUGGAAGAUCAAAACCCAUUCAAACAUUGUACUUAAGUAUCCCAAGUUUGUUCUGUCUUCCAUGUGUUACUAUGCAUGGGAGUUUUUAUGAGAAAUCUUUUUCUAGGGUAAAAAGUCACAAUUUGGAAGUGAUUCAAACAGCAAACUUGCAUUUUUAUCUCCAUGAAAAUAGUGCAAUCAGUGAUAAAACAAAUUUGCCCAAUCCUGAAAUGAGUCACUGACAUGACUCAUUUUUUCUAUAUUUUCCUAGGUAAAAUAUUUUCCUAGGUAAAGAUAUUCUAAGCAUUGAUAGCACAAAGACACAGUGAGUUAAACAGUGUUAGGUAAUUUGUAUUCAAAUUAAUUGCCAUGGAAUGUAUUGCCACGGGAAAGAGAAAACCACUCAGACUGUCUUCUAUCCUCUAUGCUGUAGACAUCAAAACUAAAUUUUAUUUCAGAGGUUUUAUUUCAAGUGUGAUGUGUGUGUAUAUCUAUCUAUCUAUCUCACGUUCAUCGUUGUAAUGUCAGGCAUGACCUCUUACUUCCAGACUGAGUAAAAUAAAGUGAUACAAUUGCAUCCCACUCGCACAGUGUCUUCUAAUGACAUGAAGUCUGUGGGCUGAGCUCCAGGCAGUAACCCAAAGUGUCAUAACCACAGCUUGUAUGAUGCUUCUGUUCCAGUCCAAGCCUGCUUAUUCUGCUGCUCUGAC